UACGAAGGGUGCAAGCGUUACUCGGAAUUACUGGGCGUAAAGCGUGCGUAGGUGGUUUGUUAAGUCUGUUGUGAAAGCCCCGGGCUCAACCUGGGAAUGGCAAUGGAUACUGGCAAGCUAGAGUGCGGUAGAGGGUAGUGGAAUUCCCGGUGUAGCGGUGAAAUGCGCAGAUAUCGGGAAGAACACCCGUGGCGAAGGCGGCUCUCUGGGACGGUACUGACGCUGAGACGCGAAAGCGUGGGGAGCAAACAGG
rnacentral:rRNA from 1 species